rnacentral:rRNA from 1 species
CCUACGGGGGGCUGCAGUAAGGAAUAUUGCGCAAUGGGCGAAAGCCUGACGCAGCGACGCCGCGUGGGGGAUGAAGGUCUUCGGAUUGUAAACCCCUUUCGGGAGGGAAGAUGGAGCGAGCAAUCGUUCGGACGGUACCUCCAGAAGCAGCCACGGCCAACUUCGUGCCAGCAGCCGCGGUAAUACGAAGGUGGCAAGCGUUGUUCGGAUUCACUGGGCGUACAGGGUGUGUAGGCGGUUUGGUAAGCCUUCUGUUAAAGCUUCGGGCCCAACCCGGAAAGCGCAGAGGGUACUGCCAGGCUAGAGGGUGGGAGAGGAGCGCGGAAUUCCCGGUGUAGCGGUGAAAUGCGUAGAGAUCGGGAGGAAGGCCGGUGGCGAAGGCGGCGCUCUGGAACAUACCUGACGCUGAGACACGAAAGCGUGGGGAGCAAACAGGAUUAGAUACCCCAGUAGUC